UCUAUCGAUUAUCCCGUGAACAACGAAAAGGGAAAAAAAUCUUAUUUCUCCGGAAACCUAAUAACCUAACGGCAGAAGAAAUAUCUUUCUCUAUUUCUUCCUUCUUCCACAUCUUAAAUUCUUUGCUUAGGGUUUGUAUCUCAAUUUUGUAUUUGUUUAUAUUUUUUCGUACAGGGUAAGGUGUCAUUUGUAUCAUCGGAUGGUAUUCAUCAGUUAGACAUCUUCAUCUUAAUGAACGAACGAGUUUGCUAUUGUAAACCCUAACCCUUUUCUUUCCGUCUCUUUGUCUGCCUGAACGAUUUUUUGCUAUUGCAAACCCUAACCCCUUAUCUGUCAUCGGGCAUGUAUGAUUUUGUUGGUUUGCAUGUAUGAUUUUGUUGGUUUGCAGGUGAUAAUACAUCGAUAUCUCUUUGUUUGCCUGAACGAUUUUUUGUUAUUGCAAACCCUAACCCCUUCUCUGUCAUCGGACAUGUAUGAUUUUAAUUUACUUUUGUUUUGUUGGUUUGCAGGUGAUAAUACAUGGAUGUUGGUUUACAGGUGAUAAUACAUGGAUACAAGGAGAGAUUCAUGAGCGGUGUCGUGGUGAACACCAAGUGAUUGACGUGGGCAUAUGAAGCAUUUGGAAUUGAAAAGGAAGUUUAUCAAACAGUUGCCAGAACUUUGGUUCUCAUUAAUACCUAUAUAUGGCUUAACUUUAUUUCUUAUUUAUUAUUCUUGCAAAUUCCGUGUGCCAUUUUUUCUAACUUUUGUGCAGGUGAUUCUAUGGUAAUCCAAAUGGCUAAACCUAUUCUCUUCUGCGUGAAACAAAACUGGGUUUGCGUUUCUUUCGUUUUUUGAUAUCAAAUCUGCAUGGCCAGUUUUCCAGUGAAUUUUUCAACUCGACUGGAAAAAGAGAAUGAAUGUGAACAUUAUGAGAAAUCAUCUUAUAUUGCUAAAAGUAAAAGAUAUUGAAACAUAUUGUCGGUCUGAAUGCUAAUAUAUUACGACUGUAUGCUAACUGUAUUUACCACCUAACAGAUUAGGGUUUGAUUGUAUUGGUGGUAACAUUAACAUAGCUGAUAUCACCAACAUGGUAAGAAGGAAAGUUAGUGAUACAAUUCAAUACUUGGGUUAUUAUGAUUUUAUCCUGCAAUAAUAACCUUCAGUCAUGCUUCAUUAGAAACCUAGGUUCAAUUCAAAAUAUAGACGUGAGUGGGAAUCGACUGUUUGCUUUUGAUUCAUUCCGAUGAUGUGAUACAUAAAAAAUAAUUGUUUCGUAUUUUGUUACUUUGCCAAUGGAAUUAAAGUACCAAACAGUACUUAUGUAUGGAAUGUGAAGUCAGUAAGAGCCUAACAUCCUUCCAUGCAUCGGUUUUCACUCCAACAGAUAACUAUUGAUUUAAUUAGUCCAGAGGGAAUUUACUCUUAGCAAACCUGUGAUUGAUAAGCAUGAGCUUUCUAUUCUUAGCUUACCACUUUGUGCAUUUCGUUUAUGUGAAUAAGCAGAAGAUUCUCCAGUAUGGUCAUCAAAUGACAUUAACUUUGUCAUCACGACGGCGCGGGCGAAGCCGCGCGACACCAAAUCAAAAAUGCAUCGGAACCUAAUUUUGGGUUUAAUUCUUUUCACAUUAAUAAUUGACUCAGGUAAUUGUUUAUCGUUAUUUUACUUGAUUUUGAAUCCGAUGAAAAUUGGAUAUUUGGGUGAAUUUUUUUGAAAUUCUGACCAUGAUGGUAUCUCUUCAAAUGGGUACUCAGUUUGAAGAGAAAUUACUUUGUGGUACUCAGUUUCUGUAUCUUGGUUAUGUUGUUGCAUUCAUGCUUUACUGAUUGAUUUUAAUUUGACUAUUUAGCUACUGAUGUGUUGUUAUGGAGGAACAACUGAACAAGAUAUCGGCAAGUGCCAUAUCUGGGCUACAUUCAUAUUGGUGCUCUUUGAAUGGCUUGAAUUUAACUUUGUUACUUAUCUUCCUUGUUUUAGCUCUUGGCAUGCUUGCUCAAUUUGUAUGGUCAUCUGCUUCAGGGUUGCUAAACAGGUAAGUUGGGAGAUUAUGCUUUCACCACCACCCCUCCCAAUUGGAUAACGAAUGUUAUCAUUGUCUUAAUUUCGCAAAUCUUACUGCCUUAUGGGAUACAUGGAAGUAAUGGCUAUCUGUCUACCACUAAUGCUGCAAUGGUCUACUUAAUCCUUAACGUGAAUAGUGUAACCGAAUAUGAGGUAGAAACCUGUGACUAAUGCACCCCUAUCGUUAUUGAUUUUUUGGCGUUACAAGUAGUAAUUUGUGGCGAAUUUACCAAAUGUAACAUAUUGGGAUGUUUUUGUUAUUACAAUGUUAAGCGGUUUUAGGCGUCUAACCAUCUUUAUUCUAUUGCAGGGCAUUUUAGCCACUUUAGGCUUACCAUUUUUCAGGUGUUGUUGGGUUGGUAUGGAUACCAUUUGCCAUGGUUAACGUCAUCUAUUAUUUUUUAAGAUUCGAGGGGAAGGCUGAUGUGGAGUUCAGGUUGGUAUUAUAGCAGCAGUUGGUUGCAGUGCGGCAAUUGCUUCAUUACUUCGGGCUGUGCUGUAGUUUAUGGCUUCGUUGGGGUCGGGUUAGAUACAGCAUACAAACACAAAUGGUUUUAUACAGAAGCACAAGAUAUUGAUCUCAUUGAUUUUGAAACUGGCGAAGCGUAGCCGAGCCACACCAAAUCGAGACGGGGCGAGGCGAAUCCGAGCUUUAUCGAAUCAAAUCGGGACUGGGCGAAGUGAAACCGAUCUUUACCGAGCUUUACCAAAUCGGGACGAGGCGAAGCCGAAGCAGAGCUUUACCAAAUAAAGUUGUAGAUUGAAGUUUGCGAAGCUGCCCAGGCGUAGCACGGGCACAAAAUCUAGUUUUUUCUAAGUACUGGCAAUACAAAUUUUUCUAUCGGUGCCCUACUAUAUAUAUAUUAGAAAGACACCUAGAAACAUUUGCUGAAUUUUCUGAAUGAUUUUCUAUUGUUCGACCAAGUUCUCUCAGAAGCUCCUAACUUAAUUGAGUCAUCACCCCUUCAUUUUCAUAAUCUGCGAUGUUUGAGGCUGGAUAUGUGUUUUACAAGAAGCUGUUUGCACACAUUAACAUACUUAUUGAAGAUCUCUCGUAAUGUAGAAUCUAUAUUGUUAGGAAAAGUGCGGUUUGUUAUGCUAGGUCCGUAUCCAUACAAAGGUGGAUUUCCUAACCGGGUUUGGAGAUACUAGUAAAGGGUUUAGUUCCGAUUAGGAGACUAAUACUUGGUGUCCAAGUUUGUGUUCUCCAUAUAUAUAUAUAUAUAUGACUAUAAUUGUAGGUCUUUAGUAAUCCAACCUAGAAGAGUGGUAAAUCCUUGUGCCUAGUUUUUGGUCUUUUUGGUAGGGAGGAUCGUGCGCUACCGUGAAGGUCAAUAUCGGUGAUAGAAAAACUUGUGGACAGAGGAUUUUGGUGUUCUAGUGUUUAGGGUUUGGGGCUUUGCCCUAAACCUAGUUUCUCCUCUGUUACUUACAGCUAUGAAAACGGUGUAGAAGAGAAGACAUGAGGCUGGUUUGAGGAAUGGUUAGAGAUUGGUUUCUAUGGUUUCUUCGUUGGUGUUCUCGGGUAUGUCUUAUUAACUCUUUGGGUCUUGUUUUGGGUUGCGUAAAGAGCAUGUAAUGGUCUUUGAUAUAAUGGAAGUUUUCUGGUGGUGUUGGCCGUGGAUGUAGCCUGUAAAGGUGAACCACGUAUAUCUUGUGUUGUGGUUGUGUGCUUGUUUAUCUUCUGUCUCUCUCUUAUUAUUUCUCCCAUGUUUGGUCGAAAUCACCAAUUGCUCUUUGUGAUCCUGUAAUUCCGCUGCGCUCGGGGUGCAAAUUUCCAACAAUUGGUAUCAUAGCCAAGUAUGGGCUGGUGUGAUUGAACCUGAAAUUGAACGAUGGUUUAUUGUUCGGGUGGAGAAAUAUUUUUGAAGAUAAUGUUACAACCGGUGCUGACACAAAGAUGGAUUUGUGAUGUGAUUUACAAAUCGGAGGUUCAACUUGGUAGAAGUGUAUGUUCUUCGUUUUGUUUUAUGAUGUAGUAUGGGAUGCAGAAUAAGGCUAGAUGA